GGGGUCGUAGCUCAUUGGUAGAGCGCUUGCCUAGCACGUAUGAGGUGCUGGGUUCAAUCCUCAGCACCACA
rnacentral:tRNA from 1 species